CACGCCGGCACCACGCCAGUUCACUAGUACUCCUACAGGCCAAGCUUGCUGCUUUCUUCUCCGACCAAUUCCCUCCAACACCUCGCGCGCGCGGUCGAUUCCGGCCGAAUGGCGGCAACGAACUGAGCGAGGAGAGUCGACGGGUCCGCGGCUCCCUCCAAUGGCCUCUCUCCCCACCUUAUCCGCUUCCCUCCCGCGGCCCCACGUCCGCCUCAUGUUCAGGACCCCCGCUCCCUCCUGGGGCUGCUUCACCGACCACAAUGGCCGCUGCGGCGGGUCGCUCGACACGAGGCUCCGGCUGCGGUGGAGGAGCCCGGUCCGCGCCAAGGUCGGCGAGGCGGACAAGGACAAGGGCGCCGCCGAUUCGGGGCUCCGCGUGGACCAGCAGCGCAAGACCCUGCGGCGCCGCCUGCGGCUGCGGCUCCGGCCCCGGCUCCGCGUGCUGCGGUGGCGGCUCCGGCGGCUGCUGUCGCCGCGGGAGCUCGCGGGCGACGCGGCGGCGGCGCUGCGGCGGGCCGCCCGCCGCGUGCCGCUCCCCGCCGCCGCGUCCGUCGUCCUGGGCGCCCUCCUCCUCGCCGCGCGGCUCACGGUGCCCAAGAACGCGGCCCGGGAGGUGGCCUACUCGGACCUCCUCGCGGGGCUCCGCGCGGGCGCCGUCACCGCCGCCGCGUUCGAGGAGGACUCGCGCCGCAUCUACUUCAGCAAGGCCGAGGAGGACGUCGGCAGCGGCGGCGACGACGAGCGCGAGGCCGGCGGAGGCGGCGCCGCCGGUGCGACGAAGUGGGCGUACUACGCGAGGAGGGUGCCGCACGACGAGGGUUUCCUGCUGGGCCUCAUGCGGGACGGCGGGGUGGACUACCGGUCCGCUCCCAGGCCCGCGGGGAGGCUGCUGGUGGACAUGCUCACCACGCUGCUCACGCUCUGGUUCUCGCUGCUGCCCAUGAUGUGGUUCAUACAGAGGCAGAUGUCCGCUGCGGGCAGCGCGGACAAGCGCCGCAAGCCCCGGAAGCAGCGAGUAGGGUUUGAAGAUGUCCAGGGCGUGGAUGAAGCCAAGGAGGAGCUUGUUGAGAUAGUGAGCUGCUUGCGUGGUUCACUGAACUACAAGAAGCUGGGAGCAAGAUUACCUAGGGGCGUUCUGCUUGCUGGUCCUCCAGGAACUGGGAAAACUCUGCUGGCUAAGGCAGUUGCAGGAGAGGCUGGAAUUCCAUUCUUCUCUGUUUCUGCUAGUGAAUUUGUUGAAAUGUUUGUUGGAAGAGGAGCAGCACGUGUCAGAGAUUUGUUCAAGGAAGCCAAAGAAGCUGCUCCGUCAAUCAUUUUUAUUGAUGAACUUGAUGCUGUUGGUGGAAGCAGGGGUAGAAGUUUUAAUGAUGAGAGGGACCAAACUCUAAAUCAGCUGCUUACUGAAAUGGAUGGUUUUGACUCAGACGUGAAAGUUAUUGUCAUGGCUGCUACUAAUAGACCUAAAGCUCUUGAUUCUGCUCUUUGUCGGCCUGGUCGUUUCUCAAGAAAGGUUUUUGUCGGUGUGCCUGAUUUGGAGGGCCGCAGAAAGAUUUUGGCUGUUCAUUUCAGAGAAGUUCCUUUAGAAGAGGAUUCUGAAACAAUUUGCGAUCUGAUUGCUAACUUGACCCCAGGAUUGGUUGGUGCAGAUCUAGCAAACAUUGUCAAUGAGGCUGCUCUACUAGCUGCUCGAAGAGGUGGCAAUACAGUGGCUAGGGAAGAUGUUAUGGAUGCCAUUGAGAGGGAGAAAUAUGGGGUCAAUGGUAGACAAAAGAGUCCUGAUUCUGAAAGACAAGGCCUUACCAAAUUAUUUCCAUGGUUACCUAAACCUGGAAAUAAACCACCAAACCCAGAUGAUUUCCAGGGACUUAUGGGUUAUCAUACAUUAAGCUAACUGGCGUUUUUGCAAGGUAUCCUCAGAUUUUGCCUAUUCUACCGAUUUUGUUCAUCACAUUGUUCCUAACAAAUUCCAAUAAGUAGCUUCAGAAGCUGGCCACCUUUUGACUGAAACGGUAUAUGUGCUAAAGGGGAGAUAAGCAUCAACUGACAUGGUAUAAAAUUGUCCGUGUACGAGGUGCAGGGUACAAUUGUAAGGCAGCAAAUAUACAAUUCAACUCUUACCUGUGAAGGAGACUGCACUGUGCGCUAAGUGGGACGGGGAACUGUGACGCAUUACUCGAUGAAUUUUGAUGCAGUUCGAUCAGCAGAAAGCUGCUACCCGAUUACAAUAGCUUAGCAUGUGAAUGUGCAACACAAGGUCCACGAAUUUUCUAGUGAUUCGGAUUAAUCUUGCGGUCCGUAAUUUUGAUACAAGCACUUAAACAUGGUUUUUUGGGUAGCUCAUAUUGUUAAUAGAAUAGUCUGUGCUAGUUUACAAGAUAGGGUCAACCCUGAUUCUGAUGUACAUGAAUUUGCCACUUGGCUAAUUUUUUAGCAUACAUGAGCUCUGCGGCAGUUGGAUCCACAGCAAUGUGUAAGAUUGGAAGUAGACAGAAUUACUUGGGAGCUCAGCUAUUUUUCACGCCA